rnacentral:rRNA from 1 species
GGGUAGCCGACCUGAGAGGGUGAUCGCCCACACUGGGACUGAGACACGGCCCAGACUCCUACGGGAGGCAGCAGUGGGGAAUAUUGCACAAUGGGCGCAAGCCUGAUGCAGCGACGCCGCGUGAGGGAUGACGGCCUUCGGGUUGUAAACCUCUUUCAGCAGGGACGAAGCGCGAGUGACGGUACCUGCAGAAGAAGCACCGGCCAACUACGUGCCAGCAGCCGCGGUAAUACGUAGGGUGCGAGCGUUGUCCGGAAUUACUGGGCGUAAAGAGCUCGUAGGCGGUUUGUCGCGUCGUCUGUGAAAUUCUGCAGCUUAACUGCAGGCGUGCAGGCGAUACGGGCAGACUUGAGUACUACAGGGGAGACUGGAAUUCCUGGUGUAGCGGUGAAAUGCGCAGAUAUCAGGAGGAACACCGGUGGCGAAGGCGGGUCUCUGGGUAGUAACUGACGCUGAGGAGCGAAAGCGUGGGUAGCGAACAGGAUUAGAUACCCUGGUAGUCCACGCCGUAAACGGUGGGUACUAGGUGUCGAGUUCCAUUUCACGAGCAACCGGUAGCCGCAGCUUAACGCGAUUAAGUACCCCCGACCUGGGGAGCACGACCCGUCAAGGCUAAAACUCAAAGGAAUUGAAUCGGUCCCGCACAUCGUCGUAACAUGUGGAUUAAUUCAAUGCAACGCGAAGAACCUUACCUGGAUUUGACAUACACCAAACGCCACCAAAGAUGUUGGUUCCCUUGUGGUUGGUGUACUCGUGUUGCAUGGCUGUCGUCAGCUCGCGUCGUGAAAUGUUGGGUUAAGUCCCGCAACGAGCGCAACCCUUGUCCUGUAUUGCCUGCGUUUAUGCCAAUACUUGCAGGAGACUGCCGGAAUCAACUCGGAGGAAGGUGUUUAUGAAUACCAACGUCAUUGCCCAUUACUUACAAGGUA